ACCCCUUUGCCGCCGGGUAAAGCAACUAAGCACUAAGCUUCAUAUCGUUAGGCCUUAGAAGAUAUGGAGAACUGGCGUUUUUGUGGA
rnacentral:ncRNA from 1 species